UACUCCUACGGGAGGCAGCAGUGGGGAAUAUUGGACAAUGGACCGAGAGUCUGAUCCAGCAAUUCUGUGUGCACGAUGAAGUUUUUCGGAAUGUAAAGUGCUUUCAGUUGGGAAGAAAAAAAUGACGGUACCAACAGAAGAAGUGACGGCUAAAUACGUGCCAGCAGCCGCGGUAAUACGUAUGUCACGAGCGUUAUCCGGAUUUAUUGGGCGUAAAGCGCGUCUAGGUGGUUAUGUAAGUCUGAUGUGGAAAUGCAGGGCUCAACUCUGUAUUGCAUUGGAAACUGUAUAACUAGAGUACUGGAGAGGUAAGCGGAACUACAAGUGUAGAGGUGAAAUUCGUAGAUAUUUGUAGGAAUGCCGAUGGGGAAGCCAGCUUACUGGACAGAUACUGACGCUGAAGCGCGAAAGCGUGGGUAGCAAACAGGAUUAGAUACCCUGGUAGUCCACGCCGUAAACGAUGAUUACUAGGUGUUGGGGGUCGAACCUCAGCGCCCAAGCAAACGCGAUAAGUAAUCCGCCUGGGGAGUACGUACGCAAGUAUGAAACUCAAAUGAAUUGACGGA
rnacentral:rRNA from 1 species